UGACUCCUCCCAUUUCCACGUUGACUUUCGCACAGUACCGUUCCAAGUUACGCGUUCCAUGUAUAAGAAUAUACGAUUAUCGAUCGAAAUCGAAAACUGUUUAUUUACAUUAUCACCAUAAGAAAAUGAUUUCAGAAUCGGAGAGUGGCAAAAGUUGUGAGGAAGAACAAGACGUAGCAAGGAGGAGGCUGGAUGAAGCUUUGAUACAAAAGAGAAAAACAGUUCCAGAAUUUAAGGAACAUUAAAGGAAGAACAGUAAAACGCCGAGAUACGGAUCAACAACAGAGACUUACUGCGUUCAAGGAGUCUUACAAAGGGAAAAAAGAGGUACCUCAAAGAAACAAUCCAUGGUCGGUUCUUGAGUGGUAAAACCAUUGGAACUCCUUCGACCAAAGACCACAGGACAAUCUAGAUCGCAGGAAGUCUCACUGCCAUAUAAGUAUUGGUUCUAAGAUUAAUAAGAUGGCAGAGAAUUACAAUGCCUCAGUAAUUUGCUUAAUCCGUUACCCCAAUGGAACUCAACACACCAAGUAUGUGUUAGUAAGCGGAGGUGGAAUUAAAUAUUCCAAAUAAAGAGAUGGUCUUCUAAGUGAACAACUCUGGCAUCGAUAUUGGAACAAAAAACAAAAGAAACGACAACAGUUAUGUGAGGAGAAUGGUCUGUGGCUUUGGAGAGCCAGUAAAAGAAAAAGAAAAGAGAGAACCUAGGAAAGGACAGAGAAAGAGAAAAGUAUGCAAUCAGAUUUAGAGAGACUAGAGAAAAAGAAGACAAGGAAGUAUGGGGCAAUCGAAUGGGGAAACAG
rnacentral:lncRNA from 1 species